AACGAACGCUGGCGGCAUGCCUAACACAUGCAAGUCGAACGAGACCUUCGGGUCUAGUGGCGCACGGGUGCGUAACGCGUGGGAACCUGCCCUUAGGCUCGGAAUAACUCCCCGAAAGGGGUGCUAAUACCGGAUAAUGUCUUCGGACCAAAGAUUUAUCGCCUUUGGAUGGGCCCGCGUUGGAUUAGCUAGUUGGUAGGGUAAAAGCCUACCAAGGCGACGAUCCAUAGCUGGUCUGAGAGGAUGAUCAGCCACACUGGGACUGAGACACGGCCCAGACUCCUACGGGAGGAAGCAGUGGGGAAUAUUGGACAAUGGGCGAAAGCCUGAUCCAGCAAUGCCGCGUGAGUGAUGAAGGCCUUAGGGUUGUAAAGCUCUUUUACCCGGGAUGAUAAUGACAGUACCGGGAGAAUAAGCUCCGGCUAACUCCGUG
rnacentral:rRNA from 1 species